UCACUUUGGCAGUGCAGAUACUAAAACCAGAAUAAUAACAGAGAAAAUUAGCAUGGACCUUACAUAUGGAUGACACACAAAUUCGUGAAGUGUUCCAUGAUUCU